CUAUGGCGUUGGACAUCAUUCACUUCCAUUGCUGACUCUCGAGUAACUUCUGAGACCACCGAUUGCCUGCUAGUUUUGUUAGCUUGACUUCGCCCUCUGUAAAGCUCCAGCCAGCAUAAACACCAGUGCAUGCGUCGCUUGUCCUUGGUGGUCAGGCAGCGUGAUGUUGCCAAAUAGCCUCCCCGUUCCCAGAUGGAGCUCCACGCCUGGAGUAAUGGACAUUUCAUCUAAGCGUGCGGAUGUUAGGCAGUGGAAUUUGCAUUUGCUGGAGGGUUUUAUAACCGGUGGUGCCAGCGGUAAAUCUUAUUUUUAUAGCUUUUUUAAUUGUCUCCUUUCCCCACCGUAUUCCUCUCUUCUUUUCCUGUCCAAGGGCUGUCAUUUGGUCUUUGUUAAACAUUUGGGUGAACUUCUGAUUAACUAAAUUGUUCCUCUUUCUUAGCGCCAAAUUCAUUCUUUUUUGCUGUGCUAGAGCCCUCUCUGCUCUCCUUCUCAUUAACUUCUCCAUUUUAAGUUGCCUUAUUAGGUCCUCCACAAUUGCACUAUUAGACCCUGGCAGUCUGAUCCCUGGAGCACCUGGCCCUGGCAAAGUUGGUUCAUCGUUGCUGGCUCCUGACUGACUGGCCCUCGGCACACACAUCCCUGGAUCACCUGCCCCUGGUAAAGUAGCCUCUUGGUCGCUCUCUCUGUCUCCUGUCAUGUCCCUUUCCUUGCCCUCAAAAUCCACCUCAAUUUCUCCCUCAACCUCUGUAACAAUAACAAGGUAAUGUUGCUGUUAUAUGUAUUUUGCCUUUGCAUUUGCACCUACUGUUAUCUUCAAUAAAAGGGUACACUACACUCCUAUAGAAAAUAAAUUAAAGCGAAAAAUUACUG